GAUGAACGCUGGCGGCGUGCCUAAUACAUGCAAGUCGAGCGAACGGACGAGAAGCUUGCUUCUCUGAUGUUAGCGGCGGACGGGUGAGUAACACGUGGAUAACCUACCUAUAAGACUGGGAUAACUUCGGGAAACCGGAGCUAAUACCGGUUAAUAUUUUGAACCGCAUGGUUCAACAGUGAAAGACGGUCUUGCUGUCACUUAUAGAUGGAACCUGGCUGCAUUAGCUAGUUGGUAAGGUAACGGCUUACCAAGGCGACGAUGCGUAGCCGACCUGAGAGGAUGAUCAGUCACACUGGAACUGAGACACGGUCCAGACUCCUACGGGAGGCAGCAGUGGGGAAUAUUGCGCAAUGGGCGAAAGCCUGACGGAGCCACGCCGCGUGAGUGAAGAAGGUCUUCGGAUUGUAAAACUCUGUUAUUAGGGAAGAACAUAUGUGUAAGUAACUGUGCCCGUCUUGACGUUACCUAAUCAGAAAGCCACGGCUAACUACGUG
rnacentral:rRNA from 1 species